CGGGGCGUGGGCGGCGGCGGAGCUGGGACGGGGGGAGCAGCGAGGCUGGGAGCGGGGUAGGCUGCGCCCGUACUUAAACGGGCUGCCCGAGCCGCUGACGUCUUUCGAAUUGGAGACGGGCUGCCCCCUCCCGCUCCGCGCUCCUGCGAGUACGGCCGGGGACGGAGCUAAGGUACACGUAUCUGUCUAGAAUGUCCAGGCAUGCACAGCAGCUUAGAGACCAUGAUAUAAAUCCAUGUGUAGAGGAAACAGAUGCCUCUAGAAAAUGUAUGGAUGACAACAACUAUAACAAGAAUAUGUGUACUGAUUAUUUUUUGAAGUACAAAAGCUGCAGAAAAUUCUGGCAUAAUGUUAUGGUGCAGAGAAGAAGAAAUGGUAUAAAACCAGAGAUGCCCUCAGCAGAGGAGAGAAAGAAAAUGUUGGAAUCAAUGGAGAAGCCCUACUGACUAGAAACUUGUAUGGAUUGACUGUUUCACUGUAUGGAUGAAGGCUUACCAGUAGCAGACUUGAACAAGUACCUUGUACUGCUUUGAAAAGUGUUUGUAAAGUGCUACUACUGGGCUUCAGAAAGUCAGAAAAGGAGAUUCAUUGCCUGCUUUCAAGUAUCAAACAAUACAAGAACCUGGGAUCACAGAACAGGCUAAGGCAUGUGUAAUGCAAGAAUAGUAUUUCAAUAUUAGACUUCCUGAUCAUCAGUGGACAUGUAUGCUGGAUGGUGCUGUUGCACAACACAUUGUAUGAAAACAGACUCACUCCACCCACUGCUGUGUCUGUAGAGCUUUUUUACCUUCUUCCCACAGAUAGCGGAAUUUGUUCAGGAGAAAGGCAAAGUUGGUACUGUCUCUAAACAGAAGAGUCUAAAUAAUACUGGAAAAUAAAAACUUUCUGUGUGCCUGAGAAGCUUUGGAAUAUUGUCCUCAGUCACAGCAGUGUACUGUGCAGCAGCUACAGGCUCUGUGCCAGGCCCAGGUGGAUGUCCAGAUUCCCAUCUGUACCAUCCUGCCUUCCCCAUUUCCCUGCAGCACAAGACCUUUUGAUGUCUGGCUCUGGAAGUUUGCUGCUGCCACAGCUGGGAUUACUUCAUUGGAAACUUACUGAGGGUGUACUUGAUUGCCUGGUACAGGUCAGUGAUAAAGCUAUUAAACAGAAGUGGCCCCACCACUGAGCCCUGGGGAACACAACUUGAGACAGGCCACCAACUGGAUUUAAUUCCAUUCACCACAACUCUUUGGGCCUGCCCAGCCAACCAGUUUUUUAACCAGUGAAGCAUAUGCAUAGCCCAGCCAUGGGCAGCCAGUUUCUCCAGGAUAACGCUGUGGGAAACUGUCACAGACUUUACUAAGAUCUAGUUAUAAAGCAUCUACAGCCUUUCCCUCAUCCAUUAAGUGGGUCAUCUUGUCAUGGAAGGUGAUGAGGUUAGUAAGGCAGGUCCUGCGUUUCAUAAACCCAGGUUGACUGGACCUGAUCACCUGGUUGUCCUGUAUGUGCCAUGUGAUGACACUGAAGAUGAUCUGCUCCAUAACUUUCCCCAGCACCGAGGUCAUCAUAGGCCUGUAGUUCUUUGGCUCUUUCUUUCAGCCUGUCUUGUAGAUGGGUGUCACAUUUGCUACCCUCAAGUCCCUCCCAGUUAGCCAGUACUGCUGAUAGGUGAUUGAAUUGGUGAAUUUUGUGAGUUCCCUCAGGAUCCUUGGCUGGAUCAUAUCCUGUCCCAUAGACCUGUGUGUUUGACCAUUUCCCCUUGGAUUAUGGGGACUUCAAACUGCUCCAUAUCACUGUAUUCCAGCUCAGAGGACUAGGUACCCAGCAAACAACUUGUCUUACUACUGAAGACUGAGGCAAAGAAGACAUUAAGUACCCCAGUCUUUUCUUCAGCCUUUGUCAUGUUUCCCCCCACAUCCUAUAAAGGAUUGAGAUUCUGCUUAGCCCUCCUUUCGUUGCUAAUGUAUUUCAAAUCACAGAAUCAUCAGGGGUGGAAAGGACCUUCAAGAUCAUUC